rnacentral:rRNA from 1 species
UGGGGAAUAUUGGGCAAUGGGGGCAACCCUGACCCAGCGACGCCGCGUGGGGGAAGACGGCCUUCGGGUUGUAAACCUCUUUUGUACGGGAAGAAGGAAGUGACAGUACUGUACGAAUAAGUCCCGGCUAACUACGUGCCAGCAGCCGCGGUAAUACGUAGGGGACGAGCGUUGUCCGGAAUUACUGGGCGUAAAGGGCGCGCAGGCUGUGCUGCAAGUCAGCUGUUAAAUGUCUGGGCUUAACCCGGGCAUGCGGUUGAGACUGCGGUGCUGGAGUGCUGUAGAGGCAAGUGGAAUUCCCAGAGUAGCGGUGAAAUGCGUAGAUAUUGGGAAGAACACCGGUGGCAAAGGCGACUUGCUGGGCAGCAACUGACGCUGAGGCGCGAAAGCCAGGGGAGCAAACGG